CAGUAGCCGCGGUAAUACGUAGGUGGCGAGCGUUGUCCGGAAUCAUUGGGCGUAAAGGGAGCGCAGGCGGGCAUGUAAGUCUUUCUUAAAAGUGCGGGGCUCAACCCCGUGAUGGGGAAGAAACUACAUGUCUUGAGUACAGGAGAGGAAAGCGGAAUUCCCAGUGUAGCGGUGAAAUGCGUAGAUAUUGGGAGGAACACCAGUGGCGAAGGCGGCUUUCUGGACUGCAACUGACGCUGAGGCUCGAAAGCCAGGGGAGCAAACAGGAUUAGAUACCCCCGUAGUCCCUGUCUCUUAUACA
rnacentral:rRNA from 1 species